rnacentral:piRNA from 1 species
UGAUCACAGUUAAGGUGGUAAUAGUCAGAC